rnacentral:tRNA from 3 species
GGCGUUUUGGCCGAGCGGUCUAAGGCGCUAGCUUAAGGCGCUAGUCCUCACGGGCGUGAGUUCGAAUCUCACAGACGUCA